rnacentral:rRNA from 1 species
AUGUGCGGGAACCUGACUUCGAUUUCUUCAAAAUUCUGGUGGGGCGCGGCGGAUGGGGAAAGGAAAGUACACUGGAUUUCUUGGCAAAAAAUGUGUGCAACAAAAAGAGAUGGAGGACUUGGUUUUUGAGACCGUGAAGCUUUCAAUCAAGCCUUAUUAGCGAAGCAGGCCUAGCGGAUCUUGCAGAACCCUUCUUCCCUGUGCGCUAGGGUCCUCAAGGCCCGGUAUAUCAGCAAGGACAUGAUUCUUACAACAACUUGUUCAAGCACGGCGUCUUACACUUUUCGGAGUAUUUUGCAUGGGAGAGAUCUUCUUCGGGAGGGACUCAUUUGGCGCAUUGGUGAUGGUUCACAGGUGCAGAUACAUCAUGCAAAUUGGAUCCCAUGCAACAGCAGUAUGAAGCCAUUGGGCAAGUGUACAUGCCGGGAGUCAGGAGGGUUGCCCACCUACUGA